CCGGCCCGGGCCGAGCGCGCGGCCCGACGACUGCGGGUGGCUUUGCGUGCAAUUACUCAUGCUCUGAAUUGCGGUCCCGAAACUGACAUGGCCCACCGGGGUGGGGAGAGGGACUUCCAGACUUCUGCACGGCGCAUGGGCACCUCACUGCUCUUCCAGCUUUCAGUGCACGAGAGGGAGCUGGACCUGGUUUUCCUGGAUCACAGCUAUGCCAAGCCGUGGAGUGCCCACCCAGAUGCCAGUAGUGCCCGCCCCACCCGCAUGCUCUUUGUUACUCCCCGGAGGCAGCACGAAAGUACCAUCCAGAUGAUGGAUAAACACCUGUGUUGUGUGAAGUAUGUGUGGUCUGGUCCUAUCUCCUCACCUGUUUACAGUGAAUCAGACGUCCCGAUUGAUGUAGAGACGGUCACGUCAACCCCUGUGCCACUCUAUGACAACCAGAAGGCACGCAGCGUGAUGAACGAGUGUGAACGUCACGUCAUCUUCGCCAGGACCGAUGCUGAUGCUCCUCCCCCGCCGGAGGACUGGGAGGAUCACGUCAACAGGACUGGAUGGACAAUGGCCCAGAACAAGCUAUUCAACAAGAUCCUCAAAGCCUUGCAGUCUGACCGGCUUGCCCGCUUGGCCAAUGAAGGGGCUUGUAAUGAGCCAGUGCUGCGCCGUGUGGCCGUGGACAAGUGUGCAAGGAGAGUGCGGCAGGCCCUGGCAAGCGUGAGCUGGGACACCAAGCUGAUCCAGUGGCUGCACACCACCCUAGUGGAGACCUUGAGUUUGCCCAUGCUGGCUGCCUACCUGGAUGCUUUGCAGACUCUGAAAGGGAAGAUCCCCACCUUGAUUGACCGGAUGCUGGUGUCGUCUCACACGAAGACAGGGGCUGCAGGAGCGGAGGCCUUGUCCCUCCUACUGAAGAGGCCCUGGGACCCUGCCGUGGGGGUGCUUUCUCAUAACAAACCAAGCAAACUCCCUGGCUCUCCUUUGAUUCUCAUUGCCUCCUCCGGCCCCUCCAGCUCCGUGUUCCCCACCUCACGCCGCCACCGCUUCUGGCAGUCUCAGCUGUCCUGCUUGGGCAAGGUCAUCCCUGUAUCCACCCAUCUGCUGAACAAUGGCAGUGGGGUAGGCGUUCUGCAGUGCCUUGAACAUAUGAUCGGGGCCGUGAGAAGCAAAGUGCUAGAGAUUCACAGCCAUUUCCCACACAAGCCCAUUGUCUUGAUUGGCUGGAAUACGGGAGCUCUGGUGGCCUGUCACGUGUCGGUGAUGGAGUAUGUCACUGCGGUUGUCUGCCUUGGGUUUCCUCUGCUUACUGUGGACGGCCCCAGAGGGGACGUGGACGACCCCCUCUUGGAUAUGAAGACUCCAGUCCUCUUUGUCAUCGGUCAGAAUUCUCUGCAGUGUCACCCUGAAGCCAUGGAGGACUUCCGGGAGAAGAUUCGGGCUGAAAACAGCCUGGUGGUGGUCGGGGGAGCCGAUGAUAAUCUCAGAAUAAGUAAAGCAAAGAAGAAAUCAGAAGGACUAACUCAGAGCAUGGUGGACAGAUGUAUUCAGGACGAGAUAGUAGACUUUCUGACUGGAGUGCUUACCCGUGCUGAAGGGCACAUGGGAUCUGAGCCUCGGGAUCAGGAUGCUGAGAAGAAGAAGAAACCCCGUGAUGCAGCCCGCAGAGACCUGGCCUUUGAAGUCCCUGAGCGGGGCAGUCGACCUGCCUCCCCAGCUGCCAAGCUACCCGCCUCGCCCUCAGGCUCAGAGGAUCUCUCCAGUGUGUCCAGCAGCCCCACCUCCAGCCCCAAGACCAAAGUGACCACAGUGACCUCUGCCCAGAAGUCCAGCCAGAUUGGGAGCUCUCAGCUGCUGAAGAGGCAUGUGCAGCGGACAGAAGCUGUGCUGACCCACAAACAGGCUCAAGCACAGUUUGCUGCUUUUCUGAAACAAAACAUGCUGGUGAGGAAAGCUGUUCCUCCCGGCAGCUCCUCCUGUCUCUUUGUUCCCAUUUCAUCAGAACAAACGGAGGAAGUGGAGAAGGAGGACCUCAGGGUCCAGCUGAAGCGGCACCAUCCCUCCAGCCCUCUUCCUGGCAGUAAGGCUUCCAAGCGACCGAAGAUCAAGGUGUCCCUUAUCUCCCACGGGGACGCAGCUGGAGGUGCAUGUGCUCCUUCCCAGGGAGGAGCCCCAGAAGUGUCAGGGGGGAAGCCCGUCACCAUGACCCUGGGGCAGGCGUCAGGGGCCAAGGAGCUCACAGGACUUCUCACCACAGCCAAGUCAAGUGCUUCUUCUGAAGGGGGACUGUCAGCAAGCCCAGCCUCCUCGGCGGUGUCCAGCAGCACUGCGCCCAGUGCUGUGCACACACUCCAGAGCCGCUUGGUGGCCGCCUCUCCAGGCAACUCCCUUCCAGGGGCCACGUCAGCCAGCAGCCUCCUCCAGGGCCUCAGCUUCAGCUUGCAGGACAUCAGCAGCAAAUCCUCUGGCCUCCCAGCAAGUCCCUCCCCAGGGCCAGCCCCCCAGGCCACCAGUAUGAAGUUGCCCACCCCCAUGCAGAGCCUGGGUGCCAUCACCACCGGCACCAGCACCAUUGUCCGAACCAUUCCUGUGGCCACCACUCUCUCCUCCUUGGGUGCCACUCCUGGUGGGAAGCCUACAGCCAUCCACCAGCUGCUGACCAAUGGGGGCCUGGCUAAGUUGGCAAGCAGCCUCCCUGGCCUGGCUCAGAUCUCUAAUCAAGCAUCAGGCUUGAAGGUUCCAACCACCAUCACGCUGACGCUGCGUGGCCAGCCGAGCAGAAUCACCACGCUGAGCCCCGUGGGCUCAGGAGCAGCCCUGUCAGAAGAGCCGGCCCCCCAGGCUCUGCCCUCCAGCUCACAGAAGGUGCUUUACCUGGAUCGUCUCGUUGAAUCCUCACAACAACUCUGUGAAGUAGCUGAGAAACAGGAGGCUCAGAGAACAUGAGUAAUUUACCCUGAAAAGUGGUGGAAGGGGCUCUCUGACUACACAGUCCAUGAACAGCGCCUGCCUCCAGCACCCUGAAGAUGCCAGUGAUAGCGCUCCUUUACCAGAUUGGUCAUGGCUGCUGCGUGCUGUGCCAUGGGCACGCGUGCUGUCCUGCUGAGCUGUCUGCCGACUGAAGACCUCUCUAAGAUAAUCGUUUUUGCCUCCCUGCCAACUGUCUUCAGGAUUGGGCCUCUGGAUCUCGUGAAACUGUUAGGCUAGGUGAUACGGUGCCAGCCAGGGAGCAGCGUCCUCCAGGAUCUACAAGUCUGGUCCCCAGGCCCCCAGCCUCCUCAGCAUGGAUCAGAGGCACUUCCGCCCCCUCACUCACUGUGAUUUGAGUGAAUGAGUUAAGUGUCAGUGUUGGACUGCAUUUAAUAAAGGAGUUUCUUUUUGGAAGUCUGUGCCACCCCCAUGCCAAGUUGGGAGGAGAAGUCCACGUGGUCUGGGCUGUGGGAGUCAGGACUGAGAGCUAUUUGCUGAGGACUGGCCCAGUGGCCAAUCGUUCAGGCCGGAGGGCUUGUUUGGAUGUAUGUCGCCAUCAUUCAGCAGCCUUGGGAGAGUGGGCCCUGUAUGGCUCCCACUUAGAAACCAUAGAAACCACAUCAAAUACCGAGCAGCCCGCUAAGACCUGGGAACUUCCAACUUGCAAAUCAGGCAAAGAAAACUGGGCUGCAGUCUUUUGGCCAGCCCAGGUGUGGGGAUUAACAGCUGCCGGGAGGUAAAAACUGGUCUCUCUUUCUCACCAUGCAUUGGGCAGUUCCUGUAUCCAGAGGGCCUGCAGGUCCAGAAAAGGCAAAGAAGAUGAUUGGAGCAGCACAUGAAGUAGCUUGAAGGACGUGCCAGUAGGUUCUGUGGUGAAGUGAUUUGGGCUUGGGGCUUUGCAUAUAACAUUGUGGUGUUUCAACCUAAGGAAUUGUUCCUUCAGCUGGAUAUGAGAAGUAGAAUUUGCCAAGUCAGAGGGAAGAUACCCCAGCCCCUGUGAUUUCUGCCUCCAGUGACUGAAAAUGAAGCAGGUAUAAUCAGCUAAGUUCACGUUUUGGCCAUCCCAGAAAGCUUGAGGGAUCAAGACCACGAAGGCCCUGUUCAGUGUCUCUGUUUCUAUUCCACAUGACUUUUUUCUUCCUGCUGCUUGGAAGUGGGAAGAUUACUGCCAUUGAUUGUACUCCGCAGCGCUCUUGGUCCCAGCCUGAGCCCUGGAGGUGGAGGUCCCUGGAGAAGUGGUCAUGGAGGUGGUUCCCUGAGCCCCUCCUGCCUCCUCACAGCACUUGUCUGCAUAGUAGUCUUAGGUUUGGCUUGGAGGCAGUCCUCCAGAGCAGAUUCGCUUCCCUCUGCUCUAGAGUAUUUCCAGUCAAGGUGAUAAAUAGACAAACCAAGUGUUACUCUCUCAGUGUCCUUUUCUGUAGGUGGGGAGGGCCCACAACAUGUCAUGGCUGGAAUUUCGGCCGGGAUUCUGACCCACAGUGCAGCGUGUGUCUGAGCCAGGCCACUUGUGCUUAAUCUAGGAGUCUUACCUGCGCGGGCAAUCAGGAGGGAGCUCACCUGUGCAGGAGCCUCAGACGAGACGGACCAGUUGCUGCAGGCGGAAGCAGGGGGAAUGUGUGUGAUAGGAGGGGAGUGGGCCCCCCCAAACACCCUACCUUUCCUCCCUGACCUCAUGCACAGCUGAUCUCAGCAGUUACUCACACAGAAAAUGAGGCUGCAUUUUUGCGUUAGCUGGUAGGUAUCUGCUUUCCAAAACUCAGGAGGUGUGUCGUUAAUUUGAGGAAGGUAUGAAAUCCGAAGGAGGCAUGCAGGGUUCAGGGGUGUGGUAGCUUUAUAGGUAGGACAGUAACACAUCAGCGGGAGCAAGGACGGUGUUAGGCCCUGGGAAGAUUUUAGGAAUCACUUAGGAUAGGCAGAGGGCCCUGCAUCCACCCAUUCCUGAAAGAGAAGGGCAGCCUGGGCGGUGCAGAGAGGUGUGUGCCAAGGCCAAAAACCCCCAAAUGUCCUGGCUUUAUGGUAAAGCCUAGUGCGCCUCCCAUCGAGCACUCCUGAGGCCUGGGCUGCACAGCUUGAACGGUGCUGAAAUAGGACAUAUCACACAGCAGACCUGGAGCCCGUAACCUCAGGAGGCGGUGCCAUUGAUGGAAAAAGUCAAAGGAUCAAGAAAGUUUUAGUUGAACCCUUGGCUGACAGACGCAUGUUGAUGCCCCAUGGAAGGGCUUUGAGAAGAGGUCUCUGACGAAGACCUUUGGCCCACUCUUGGCCCCUCCACUAGGACAGUCUCGGGCUGGACAGGUUAUGGAGCAGAGCCUGGGAGAGUUCUGUUCCCACACUAGUGAAAAGGAUUUAAAAAACCAAAGCCAGCCUUUGGUUUCUUCAGCUUGUUUUGAGUUGAUUACUGUCAUGUUUGUUCUAGUAACACCCAAUGAAGUGGGCACAGAAAGGAAUAGCUAACACUGUGGUAGUGCUGGCGAUCACCUCAUUGGUGGCAGGCAUCGUUUUACACGCACUCAUUUAAUUCUACGAGGUGGGUACUGUAAUCACCGUUUUACAGGUGAAGGAACAAAGACCCAGAGAAGUUACAGGGAAAGUGGCAGAAGCAGGUCUGGAACCCAGGCACAGUGCCGUGGUCCUGAGGCGGGAGACCUGAUGUGGAGAUUAGCCCAGGAUGUGAGGCGAUGGUGGCUUGGCAACAUGACCCUUUUCAGUUUGUUAUCCACCAGGCCUAGACUGCUUGUUGCUGCCAUGUGGGGCCCUGGCUGGGCCUGCAGUAGCUGGGGCCCCUUGACCUUGGCCUUUUUGCACAUCCUGUACCACCACGAAAAAUAAAGACUUAGGGAUAAAUUAAUGAAUUCCAACAUCCAGAUUGUGAGCUUGUAUCCAAGUGGACAUGCCUUCCAAUCUUUCACUUCCAGGUCCCCACACUUGGCAUCAUAACCCUCUGGGUGGAGGCCGCAGUUCUGCUAGGUUGCUUGGGAGCAUCGAGCGCACCUGGGCGCAUCUCUGCCUCCCGUGAUGUGGUGCCCAACGUGCUUUCUCCCUCAGCUCUCUAGCUUCACUAACUCGGAAGAGCCAGGUGAGCUGAGAGAUGAGGAAUAGAUUGUUUAAAACAACAACUGUCUCACACUUAGGAGUGCGAGGGACAGGGCCAUACCAAAUUUUGAUGCACACAAAUCUUAUCAUUUCUUCUCUUUUUCUAAGCAUACGUUUUAGUCAAGAUCCUUGCAAGCAGCAGAAACCCAUUCCCCACCAAGGUGGCUCUAAAAGCGAGUGUUUUCUUAAUAGCCAUUCUCACAGACAGGAGCCUCACCAUUGCUGCCGCUUACCUCAUGACCUCAGCUAGCUUGGCCUUGCCAGGACUUUUCAGCUGCAGUGCCCUCCAAGGACAGCUGUCCCUGUCUUUCAGUUCAGAUUCUGAAGACAGUAAGCCUGAUUGGCUCAGUUCCAUUUGUGGGUGGUUGUCCCCUCCCACCCAGUCCAGUAGUGUCUGGUGGGUGGAGUCAUGCCGUUCAUAUUAUUAAUAAUCUUUCCGAGAAGAGAGUUAGAAGGAAUUAAAAAAAACAAAAUUGUGUAGGGCUCUUAGGAUGUGUGGUUUUUUUAAAAAAAAAACUUUUUAUUUUGAAAUUGAUAGGUAGUUGCAAAGAUACCACAGAGAUGUCCCACAUACCCUUCGCCCAGUUGCCCCCAGUGGUUGUCUGUCAUGGAACUGGAGUAUAGUGUUACAUAACCAGGAAACUAACAUCAGUACCGUGUGAGUGUGCGUGUGUGCGUGUAGUUGUAUGUGAUUCUAUCAUGCGUAGACUCCUGUAACCACCACCACAGUCAAGAUACAGAACUGUUCCAUUGCCACAAAUGUCUGCCUCCGGCCGCCCCUGUAUAAUCACACCCACCACUCCUCCACGACUCCUAACCCAGAACAACUACUGGUCUGCUUUCCAUCUCUCUAAUCUUGUCCUUUCAGGAGGGUUACAUAAACAGAGUCAUACAGCACAUGGCUUUUUCUGUCACUGCUGUAAUGCCCUCGAGAUCCAAGUUGUAUCAAUAGUUCAUUGCAUUGUAUUACUGAGGAGUAGUCCACGGCAUGGCUGUACCACCCCCUGGUUUGUGUAACCAUCUGUCAUCUGGCAUUGGGAUUGUUUCUAGGUUUGGGCCGUUACAAAUAAAGCUGCUGCGAACGAUUGAGUGCACAAUUGUAUGAAAACGAGUUUUUAUUUCUCUGGAAUAAAUGCCCAGAAGUUCGACUACUGGAUCAUGUAAGUUUUUCAUUUUUAAGAAACUGCCAAACUGUUUUUCAGAGUGGCUGUACCAUUUUACUUUCCCACCAGCCGUGUGUGAGAUCGUUUCUCUGCAACCUUGCCAGCAUCUGGCAUUGUCUCUGUUUUUGUUUUAGCUGUUCUAGUAGGUGCGUAGUGAUAACUCAUUGUGGCCUUCGUUUGCGUUUCCCUGUAGGGUUGGUAUGAGUCAGAAUCGACUCGAUAGCAACUUUAACAGGUAAUGACUGAUGAUGUUGAGUAUCUCUUCAUGUGCUUCUCUGCUGUCAGCCUGUCUUCUUUAGUGAAAUGUCUGUUCACGUCUUUUGCCUCAUUUCCUAAUUGGAUUGUUUGUUUUUUAACAAUUGACUUUAAGACACUUUUUAUUCAUGGAUGAUAGGAAGUUGCAAAGAAGUGUACAGGGAUCCUUCACACCUCCAGCGCUGACAGCUUCUGUUCCUGUAGGACAAUAUCAAAACCAAGAAUGGAUAUUUGCACACUCCAUAGUGUGUUUAGAUGUCACUGGUUACGCAUGCACUCAUUUGUGUGUGUGUGAAUAUACUUCUGUGCACUUUAUCACAUGCGUAACUUCCUUUGUCUGUCAGUGCCAUCAAGAUACGUAACCAUUCCGUCAUCACAGGGCUCCCUUGUACUGCCCUUUAGAGCAACCCCCUGUUCCCAGUUGUUGGCAAUCACCAGUCUCUUCUCCAUGUCUGUAACUUUAUUUCAAGAAUAUUUUAUAAAUGGAAUCAUAACAAUAUGUAACCUUUUGAGACUGGCUUUGUUCACGCAGCAUAGUUCCCUUUUUGUUUGUCUUAAGUUGUGUGUAUCAGUAAUUCAUUCCUUUUUAUUGCUGAGUGGUAUUCCAUGGUAUGAAUGUUCCAUUGUUCCUUUAACCAUUUACCCAUUGAAGGACAUUUGUGUUUUCAGUUUUGGGCAUUUGUGUACAGGUUUUGACAUGAACAUGGAUUUUCAUUUUUCCAGGAUAAAUGCCCAGGAGUGCAAUUGCUAGACUGUAUGACAGUUGCACAUUUAGCUUUAGAAGAAACUGCAAACCAUUUCCAGAUUGCCUGUACAAUUUGCAUUCCCACCAGCAAUGUACGAGAGAGCUACUUUCUCACGUCUUCACCAGCAUUUGGUAUUGUCAGUAUUUUUUAUUUUGGCCAUUUGGAUAAGUGCUUGAUGAUAUCUUACUUUCAAUUUGCAUUUUUCUAAUGGCUGGUGAUGUUGAAUGCCUUUUCAUGUGCUUAUUUGCCAUCUCUAUCUUCUUUGGUGAGAUAUCUGUUCAUGUGUGUCUUAGGCUGGGUUCUCUAGAGAAGCAAAACCAGUAAAGUGUAUAAAUAUACAUAGAGAGAGAUUUAUAUAAAGGAAAUGGCUUACACGAUUGUAGAGGCUGGAACGUCCCAAGUUCAUGGGUCAAGCUGGAGACCUCCUGAUUCAUGUACUGCAGGGGCUGGUGAACCCAAGAUGGGCAAGUCGGACAGAAAGAUCUCCAGCACAGUGUUGAGUAAGAGUGGUGAUAAAGGGCAUCCUUGUCUGGUUCCCAUUCUCCAGGGGAAAUGCUUUCACACUGUCUCCAUUUAGGAUGAUGUUUGGCCAAUGGUUUUUCAAUUUUGUUGAUCUUUUCAAAGACCCAGCUUUUGGUCUUGGGGUAAUGCUUUCAGUUGUUUUUCUAUUCUCUAUUUCAUUUAAUUCUGCUCUAAUUUUUAUUAUUUUUCUUUCUUCUGGUGCCUGAGGGUUUCUUUUGUUGAGGAAUUUUCCUUCUAUUCCCAUUUUGAUGAGAGUUUUUAUCAUGGACUUGUCAGAUGCCUUUUUUGCAUUGAUUGAUAAGAUCAUGUGGUUCUUUUGUUUUAUUUAUAUGAUGGAUUCAUUGAUCGUUUUUCUAAUCUUGAGCCAUCCCUGCAUAACUGGUAUAAUUCCCACUUGGUUAUGAUGAAGUUUUUUUUGAUAUGUUGUUGAAUUAUAUUUGCUAGAAUUUUGUUGAGGAUUUUGCAUUUAAGCUCAAGAGGGCUAACAGUCUGUAAUUUUCUUUUUUUGUGGUGUCUACCUGAUUUCGGUAUCAGGGAUAUUCUGGCUUCAUAGAAUGAGUUUGGGAGUAUUCCAUCAUUUUCUAUGCUCUGAAAUGCUUUUAGUAGUAGUAUUGUUAACUCUUUUCUGAAAGUUUGGUAGAACUCUCCGGUGAAGUCGUCAGGGCAGGGCUUUUUUUGUUGUUGGGAGUUUUUAAAUUACCUUUUCAAUCUCUUCAUUUGUUACAGGUUUUUUUAGUUGUUCUACCUCUGUUUGUGUUAGUUUAGGUGGGUAGUGUGUUUCUAGAAAUUCAUCCAUUCUAGGAUUUCAAAUUUAUUAGAGUAUAAUUUUUCAUAGUAAUCUGAUAUGAUUCUUUUAAUUUCAGUUGGGUCUGUUGUGAUAUUGCCCAUCUCGUUUCUCAUUCGGGUUAUUUGCUUCCUCACCUGCUGUUCUUUUGUCUGUUUGGCCAGUGGUUUAUCAAUUUUGUUAAUUUUUUCAAAGAACCAGCUUUUGGUCUUGUUAACUCAAUUGUUUUUCUGUUCUCUAUUUCAUUUAAUUCUGCUCUAAUUUUUAUUAUUUGCUUUCUUCUGGUGCCUGAGGGUUUCUUUUGUUGUUCUCUUUCUAGUUGUUCAAGUUGUAGGGAUAAUUCUUUGAUUUGGGCCCUUCCUUUUGGAUGUGUGCAUUUGUUGAUAUAAAUUGACCUCUGAGCACUGCUUUAGCUGUGCCCCAAAGGUUCUGAUGGGAAGUGUUUUCAUUCUUACUGGAUUCUCUGAAUUUCUUUAUUCCAUCCUUAAUUUCUUCUCUAACCCAGUUGUUUUUGAGCAGGGUGUUGUUCAGUUUCCAAGUGUUUGAUUUCUUUUCCCUGCUUUUUCUGUUACUGAUUUCUUCUUUUAUGGCUUUAUGGUCAGAGAAGAUGCUUUGUAAUUUUUGAUGUUUUGGAUUCUGUUCAGACUUGCUCUAUGACCUAAUAUGUGGUCUAUUCUAGGGAAUGUUUCAUGUGCAUUGGAAAAGAAAGUACACUUGGCUGCCGUUGAGUGGAGUGUUCUGUAUAUGUCUAUGAGGUCAAGUUGAUUGAUGGUGGCAUUUAGAUCUUACGUGUUUUUAUUGAGCUUCUUUCUGGAUGUUCUGUCCUUCGCUGAAAGUGGUGUGUUGAAGUCUCCUCCUAUUAUUGUGGAGCUAUCUCACUUUUCAAUGCUGUUAGAGCUUGUUUUAUGUAUCUUGAAGCCCUGUCAAUGGGGUCAGUGGGUGCGUAAAUAUUUAAUAUGGUUAUAUCCUCCUGGUAUAUUGUUCCUUUAAUCAUUAUAUAGUGUCCUUCCUUACCCUUUGUGGUGGGUUUAACUUUAAAGUCUAUUUUGUCAGAAAUUAAUAUUGCCACUCCUACUCUUUUUUGAUUGUUGUUUGCUUGAUAUAUUUUUUCCAUCCUUUGAGUUUUAGUUUGUGUCUUUAAGUCUAAGGUGUGUCUCGUGUAGGCAGCAUGUAGAUGGACGGUGUUUUUUUAAUCCAUUCUGCCACGCUCUGCCUCUAUUGGUACGUUUAGUCCAUUUACACUCAGUGUAAUUAUGGUUAGAUAUGAGUUUUUUUAUUCAUUUUGAUGUCUUGUGUGUUGUUGACUUUCUUUUUCCACUUAAUUUUUUGUGCUGAGUAGUUUACCUUUGUAUAUUGUCUUUUCCUCUCAUUCAUGGUUGUUGAUUUUGUUUUUGCUGAGUCUUUAUGUUUUUCCUGUAUUUUAUUUUGAUGUGUAGGAUUAUUAGUCUCCUUUGUGGUUACCUUAAUAUUUGCCCCUAUUUUUCUGCAUUUAAACCUAAAUUUUAUUUCUUUGUAUCACCUUGACUUCCUUUCCGUAUGAAAGAUCUAUGACUACAUUUUUUAGUCCCUCUUUAUUGUUUUAAUAUUUUCAUGUUUUACAUAACGACAUCAUUGUUUUCCUGUUCUGAGCAUUUUUUUAUCUUGAUUUAUUUUUGUGAUUUCCCUGUCUCAGUUGAUAUCUGGUUGUUCUGGCCUGUGUUCUAGUCUUGGGUUGAUAAAUGAUAUUAUUGAUUUUCUAGCCAGAGAACUGCCUUUAGUAUUCCUUGUAGUUUUGGUUUGGUUUUUACAAAUUCCCUAAACCUCUGGUUAUCUGGAAAUGUUGCCCUCAUAUUUGAGAGACAGUUUUGCUGGAUAUAUGAUUCUUAGCUGGCAGAUUUUUCCUUCACUGCUUUAUGUAAGCCAUCCCAUUGUUUUCUUGCCUGCAUGGUUUCUGCCGAUAGUCCGAGCUUAUUCUUGCUGACUCUUCUUUGUAGGUGACUUUUCGUUUAUCCCUAGCCACUCUUAAAAUUCUCUCUUUAUCUUUGGUUUUGGCAAGUUUGAUUAUAACAUGUCUUGGUAGCUUUCUUUUGAGAUCUGUCUUAUGUGGGGUUCGAUGAGCAUAUGGGAUAGAUAUCUUCUCAUUUUUCUUGAUAUCAGGGAAGUUUUCUGCCAACAAAUCUUCAACAAUUCUCUCUGUAUUACCUGUUAUCUCUCCCUGUUCUGGUACUCCAGUCACUCAAAGGUUAUUUCUCUUGAUAAAGUCCCACAUGAUUCUUAGGGUUUCUUCAUCUUUUUAAAUUCUUUUGUCUGAUUUUUCUUGAAUAUAUUGGUGACAAUUGUUUUAUCUUCAGUCUCACUAAUUCUGCCUUCCACUUCCUCAAUUCUGCUCCUCUGAGUUUCUAUUGAGUUGUCUAAUGUUGUAAUUUUAUUGUUAAUCUUUUGAAUUUCUGAUUGCUGUCUCUCUGUGCAUUCUUGCACAUACUAAAUUUUUCAUUAUGUUCUUGAAUAACCUUUUUAAUUUCUUCAGCACCUUUAUCUGUGUGCCCCUUGGCUUGUUCUGCAUUUUGCCUGAUCUUGUUCCUGACGUCUUGAAGAGUUCUGUAUAUUAAUCUUUUUUUAUUCAGCAUCUGGUAAUUCCGGGAAAAAACCUUCAUCCAGAAGAUUCCUUGAUUCUUUGUUUUGGGAGCUUGUUGAAGCGAUCAUGGUCUGCUUCUCUGUGUGACUUUAUAUUGACUGUUGUUUCCGAGCCAUCUAUAAAUUAUUGUGUUAAUUUAUUUUACAUUUGUUUACUAUAUCCUAGUUUUUUGUUUUGUUUUGAUACGCCCACAUAGGCUGCUUGAGUGAGCUAGCUUGAUUAUUUUCUCCUUUGAAGUUCUAACAUCCUGUCACCAGAUGGCUAGAACUGUUACCAGGUAUAUGAGCCUAGGAGGCCAUUCACUUUUCUUGUAUGGAUUUAGCUCAGGUGUCCAGGUUGUUGGUCAUCAAGUGUGUGGUACAGGCUUAGUUGUACAGUCUUAGAGGGGCAGGGGUGAUUGGUGUAGGCACAGGUAUCUGGUUGCAGCAGGGGGUCACGCUCUGAGCAAGGCAGGGGGCUGACUACUGUCUCCUCAGUGCCUGUGAGGAAAGCACGUCCCUGUUUCCUAGAGCGUACAGGUGGGUGGGUUCUGCAGCCGGACCAUGGGCACCCAGUACUUUUGGCUGUAAGGACUGGGAGGCACCACUUAUCCUUGGACCCCUGUCGUCGGUGGCUAGGUGACGUGCGUGGAGCCACCAGUCCUCAGGCCCCUGAUGUGGGUAGGUGAGGACCCUGUUUAACGGGCAAAGUGGUGUUAGUCAUCCAAAACCCACCCUUCCACUGUGCAGCUGAAACAGUAGUAUUUAGAUCUUGAGCACAUACACCGUUGAACUCUGCCAACAAGGGCCUGCUCUCCUGAAAUGGGUCCACACAGGUCCUUGCAGGGGUGAAAGGUAUUCAAAGUCCACGGACUGUUUGUGCCUGGACAGGAGCCGCUUCUGUCCUGAGCUCCCCAGCUUAGUAGAGCAGGCAGAUUAUCUUUUCCCCUAAUUGUUAAUUUAUUUCUUCUCCAAAGCUGGGAGAAUGGCUCAGGGCAUGCAGCAGGACUUAUCUCAGGCCCUGGGAAAUCGACAGCCACUGAAGCUGGCUUGGGGGCUGGGGGCAUGGUAAAAUAAACGCAAGUACUUAGCUUUUGCCAAGAGUAAUGUUAUUCCCUGGUUCCAGAGGUGUGAGUAGACUGUGCAACUCUCUGUCCCUGAGGAAACCGCCUCCGGAAGGCUACUGCCAACUCCACCAUGGUCUCUCUAGGGGAUCGUGCCUAAGGGUUCCCGCCAAGUCAGGUCCGGCAACUCUUCACCACUUCUGAACUGUCUCUCUCUCUUCUGCCACUCAGUCCGAUUUCCUAACUUUGCCUUUGAUGUUCAGGGCUCCUAGCUUUUCAUGUAUGUAAUCGUUUCACUUGUUUUGUCAGGUCUUUGUUGUAACAGGGAUCACCGGAAGCAACAUCUUGGCUCCACCUCUGCAGUAUUGUAUGUUUAAUUUUGUUGUCCCCAUAGUCGUUGCUAGUAUAUAGAAAUACAGUUGACUUUUGUAUAUGGAUCUUGUAUCCUGCCACCUUGCCAAACUUGCUCAUUAAUUCUAGGAAGUUUAUUUGUAGAUUGCUUGAGAUUUUCUGUGUAGACCAUCUACAAGUAGGGGCACUUUUAUUUCUUCUGAUCUAUAUGCCUUUGAUGUCCUUUUCUUGUCUUACUGCACUGGGUAGAACUUACAGUACUAUGUUGAAUAGCAGUCGUGAGAGUAGACAUCCUUGUCUUGUUCCCUAUCUUAGGGGGAAAACAAUUCAGUAUUCACUGUCCAGUAUAAUGUCACCUGUAGAUUUUUUUUUUUUGUAGAUGCUCUUUUCAAGUUGAGGAAGUUUCCCUCUAUUCCUAGUUUCUGAGAGUUUGAUCAUAAGUGGGUGUUAAAUUUUGUCAAAUGCUUUUUUCCCAUGUCAAUUGACAUGAUCUUAUGAUUUUUCUUCUUUAGCCUGUUAAUGUAGUGGGUUAUAUUGUUUUGUUUUUUGAGUAUUGAACCAUCCUUGCAUCCCUAGCAUAAACUUCACAGUUAUGGUAUAUAAUUCUUUUUAUAUAUUGCUGAAUUACAUUUGCUGAUAUUUUGCUAAGGAUUUUUGCAUCUAUAUUCAUGAGGGAUAUUGGUUUGUGGUUUUAUUUUUUGUUACUGUCUUUGUCAGAUUUUGACAUCACAAUAAACUGACCUCAUACAAUGAGUUGGGAAAUGUUCUCUUUUUUAUUUUAUGGAAGAGAUGGUGUCAUGGAUUGAAUUGUGUCCCUCCAAAGUGUAUGUCAACUUAGGUGGGCCAUGAUUCCCAGUGUUCUGUGAUUGUCCACCGUUUUGUCAUCUGAUGUGAUUUUCCUAAAUCUUACCUCCGUGAUGUUAGUUAGGCAGGGCUAGAGGCAGUUACACUAAUGAGGCAGGACUCAGUCCACAAGACUAGGUUGUGUCAGAAGUCAGUCUCUUUUGAGAUGUAAAAGAGAGAAAAAGGCAGAUAGACAGGGGGACCUCAUAACCACCAAGAAACAAGAGCCAGGAGGAUAGCACAUCCUUUGGACCCAGGAUCCCUGUGCUGAGAAACUCCUCAACAGGGGGAGAUCGAUGACAAGGACCUUCCUUCAGAGCUGACAGAAAAGAAUGGCGUCCUAUGGAUCUGGCUACCCUGAGUUUGGACUUGUAGCCUCCUAGACUGUGAGCGAAUGAAUUUCUCUAUAAAUUUCUGUUAUAGCAGCAGUAGAUGACUAAGACAGAUGGUACAGAAUUUGCAUUAGUUCUUUAAAUUGUUCGGUAGAUUUCUCCAGGGAAAGCAUCUGGGCCUGGAGAUUUCUUUUUUGGGAGAUUUUAAUUUCCUUAAUAGUUAUAGAUCUGCUUCAUAUUGGGUGAGUUGUGGUAGUUUGUACCUUUCAAAGAGAUUAAUCCGUUUAAUCUAAAUUGUCACAUUUGUGUGGGCAGAGUUGGUGGUGGUAGUCCCUUAUCCUUUCAGUGUCUGCAGGGUCUGUAGUGAUACUUUGUCUCAUUCCUGAUGUUGGCAGUGUGUUUCUUCUUUGUCAUUCUAGAAGUUUGUCAAUUUUAUUGGUCUCUUCAAAGAACCAGCUUUUUGUUACGUUGAUUUUUCUCUGUUGUAACUCUUCAGUUUCCAGUCUCAUUGAUUUCUGCUCUCUAUUGUUUCCUCCCUUCUGCUUGCUCAGCAUUUAUUUUGCACUUUUUCUAGUUUCUUAAGGUGGGAACUUAGAUUAUUGACGUGAGACUUUUCCUCUUUUCUGAUGUUUGCAUUUAGUGCUGUAAAUGUUUCUCAGCUUUACCUGAAUUUACCAGUUUUGAUAUAUCAUAUUUUCAUCUUCAUUCAGUUCAGUUUUUUUCCUUGGGACUUCCUUUUUGACACAUGAUUACAAGUACAUUGUUUAGUUUCCAAAUGUUGAGAGAUUUUCCUGUUUUCUCUGUUAUUGAUUUCUGGUUUGAUUCCAUUGUGAUUGAAGACCACACACUAUAAAUUCAUUGAGGUGUGUUCAUGGUCCAGGAUGUGGUCUACCUGGACCUGUGGGCACUUGAAAAGAAGGUGUUUUUGGGUGGAGUGUUCUGUAAAUGACGUUUAGAUCGUGUUUAUCGAUGGUGUGGCGUUCUUCUACAUCCUUGCUGAUUUUAUCAGGUUGUUCUGUUAAUUGAGAGAGCAGUGUUGAAAUCUCCAACUGUAAUUGUGAAUUUGUCUGUUUUUCAAAUCUGUCAUUUUUUUUCCUUUACAUAUAUUACCGUUUUGUUGUUUGGUGCAUACACAUUUAGGAUUGCUGUGUCUUCUUAAUGGAUUGACCCUUUUAUCGUCAGUAAUGUCCCUCCCUCUCUCUGGUAAUUUUGUUUGGUCUGAUGUCUUCUUUAUCUGACAUUAAUAGAGUCACUCCUGCUUUCUUCUCAUUUAAUGUUUGGAUACUAUAUUUUUUUCAUUCUUUUGCUUAACAUACCUGUAUCAUUAUAUUUGAAGUGAGUGUCUUGUAGACAGCAUGUAGUUUUUAAAUUCUCCCUGCCAAUAUCUUAUCUUUUAAUUGGUGUUUUUAGGCCAUUUCCAUUUAGUGUAAUUAUAAAUAUGUUAGGACAUAAGUCUGCCAUUUUAGUUUUUGUUUUCUCUGGGGUUUUUUGUUUUUGUCUUUUUCUUACUUUAAAAUGGGCUAUUUGAAAAUUUUUUUGGAAUAUUGUUCUCAUUUUUCUAUAGUAUUUGAUUGUACUUCUUUGUAUAGCUUUUUAGUGGUUCCGGUAGGUGUUAUGUUGUAUGUGCAUAACUUAUCAUAGUCUACUGAUGUUGACAUUUUACCAAGGAGCUUAUUUUUCAGGAGAUGACAACUGGCCUGGAAUUGUUCCUUUAGUGGCGUUUCUGCUGAGGAAGAAGCUACAGUGUAAGCCAUCAGCAGGCAGUAGGACAGGUUUCAUUCUUGUCUGGGUGCCACGAAGUACACGUCAUAGCUACACAUCGUAUCUGUGUAUGCGUCUAAGUGAAUCAGCACACUUUCUUUCGGGGGUAUGCCACUUGUCUUCCUUCAAGGGUUUAUCAGUAGAGUUACCAGUCAGCAUCUGGGCUGUUGAUUGAAGCCAACUCAGUGGGAAGAUGGAUGGCAUGCCAGGUCGAGAAGGGAUGAUCCUCUCAAAAGGCACAUCAGAGUGUAGUGAAGGGACCGGCCUCAGUGGGAGAUUUAGCACCCGUAGGCCUGAAGGAGCAGUGCUCCUGGGUUCUGGCAAGAGCUGCAGCUGCCACGAGGGGCCAUCCAACUGUGGCUAUAAGUAAGGGAUGCAGAGGGAGCUGGGUGGUGGGUGGAGGUUGGGAAUAAACACUCCAGUCUCUCUUCUCUCCUGCCAGUGUGGGGUGGGAGAUAUAUAGGUGUCCAAAGAUACACAGUCUGUCACAGGUCUUCUGGCAGGAAUAAAGGUGUGAGUAGUGCUUCUCACAGUUACUCCUAAAAUGACACAAUUGCCAAAAUUUUGGUUCCUGUACCUGAGACUGAGUUCUGCAGGUUUUACGGUUUUAGCAUCAAGGGGAGAGAGACUUCCACUGAAGUAGAAGCUGAGACUGCCGCCUGGACAUUCUGAUCUCCUCAUGCCUUGAAGGCCCUAGUUUUGGUUGGGAAGAUUGACUUGUGAUCAAACCAGGUUGCUGCCUCACAGGGGGGCACACGGAGUGAUGAAAGUUUGUUGCAAACUACAGUCCUGACAGGACCCUGUGGACUUUGGUCCUCCUUCAGGAAUGUGGUUUGGGUCACACCACUGGGAAAAGAACCUUAUUUAGCUAUGGGGUUGGUGAAAGGCAAGGGGAACAUGGCUAGGUAGUAAAAGGGUCAUAAAUGCCAACCAGAGUUUUAUGACUAAGUGAGGAAACAAGGACUGUGGUCUCUACCUCAACUGCUGUUUGAUGUCCCUUUUCCCUCGUAUUUUACUCCACAGUCAAGUGGGUUGUUAGUGACUCAGGCUACUGCGGUUGCGUUAUAUGGACGUGGGAUUAUGAUGGGAUUAAAGGAGACGUGGACGUGUCUCAGAGAUCCUCAAAGCAGCAACCGAACAUGCCUGUGCGUCAUCUCGUGGGGAAGGGCCAAGUAAGCUUUCACUUAUUUGCAAACAAAGUUUUGUGUUUUUUUAAUGUUAAGAUAGCAGCCAUUUUUUAAACUAUGUGUGGGUAGAAGGGUGUGUGUUGCUGUUGAUUGGCCAACAGGUAGUGGAAACCUAUUUUUUUUUUUUUUGUCUGCCUGAUAUCCAUCUCUCCUCAUGGUGAUAGCAUCAUGCUUUUUCCUUCGAGGAAUCCCUCCUCCCCAUCAGUCAAAUUGUCCUGCUUGCACUGGCUGUAGGAGCCCUGGUGGCUCAGUGGUUAAGUGCUGUUGGCGGUUCAGACCCAUCAGCUGCUCCAUAGGAGAAAGAUGUGACAGUCUGCUUCUGUGAAGGUUACAGCCUUGGAAUCUGUCUUCUAGAGUUGCUGGGAGUCGGAAUUGGCUCAGUGGCUACAGGGCUUUUUUCUUUUCUUCUUUUCCAAUGGCACUGGCUAUAUCACAUGGAAAUGCUCACAACCUCAGGUAACAGAAAGCUUGACCACAGUGGCUAAAAGAUAACUGUAUGUCUAGAUUGAGAUGGCGUUGGUGUUUACAGCCUUGGAAACCCUAUGGGGUGGGUCUCUGUCUUGUAGGGUCACUAUGAGUCAAAAUCAACUUGAUAGCAACGAGUUUGGUUUUGAUGUUUAUUUAGCUGCUGAACAGGGCCAGGACCAAAAUCUUUGCCGUUCUGUUUGCCUUUCACUCCUGCACAGAUGGCUUCCCCGGCAAUAGGAAAUAUGUUUUCAUUCAAGGAAAUAAAUGGGGUAAAGGAGAAAAGCAGGGACUUCCAGAAGCCCUUCCCAGCAGAUGUCCCCAUAGAUCUCAUUGGCCAGAACUGGGUCGUGUGACUCCUAGCUGCCGAGGAGGCUGGGGAAAAUGGGGAAUAGAAUUGCUGUGAUCAGUGUAAGCUAGUCAUGUCCUAUUAGCUGGGACGAUGCCCUGGACCAAAUUGGAGUUCUCUUAGCAAGGACAAAGGGGGAAUGGAAGUAGAUGGGCAGCUGACAAGGUCUGCCACAUCGGCCAGGGGGGUGCUCCUGACCAAGCAUUUGGUCCCACUCUCCGAGCUGAGUAACACAAGGGCAGAGAUGGUGGGAGCCGGUUCAUUCUGACCUCCCCCACCCCAAGGAGACACACCUACCAAUCUCUGCCUCUAGCUCCCCACACACACAUCUGGCCUGCCCUUUCCAAGCCCUGGUUUCCCUUUGUCCUUAAUUCUGUCCAUCACCCAGCUCCUUUCCAGACAUUCCUUUUCUGGCUUAAAUUAUCCAGAUGGCUCCUGUUGCUUGCAUUCAGAAAUACCCCUGACCCAUUUUAAAACAGUAAUAACGUGUCCAGCAUGUAUAUAACAUACACAUGGGAAGGAGCCCUGGUGGCACAAACAAGGGCUUGGCUGCUAACCGAAAGGCUGGUGAUCCUAACCCACCCAGCGGCCCUGCAGCAGAAAGACAUGGCAAUCUGCUCCCCUAAAGAUUAUAGACAAGAAAACCCUAUGGGGCAGUUGUCCUCUGUCCCAUGGGAUCGCCAUGAGUAGGGAUUGACUUGAAGGCACCCAAGAACAACAUACAUAUGGGUAGUGUUCUGGAUUGAACUGUGUCCCCCAAAAUAUCUGUCAACCUGGCUGGGCCAAGAAUUGUGUGAUUGUCCACCAUUUUAUGUGAUUUCCCUAUGUGUUGUAAAUCCUAUCACUAUGAUGAAAUGAGAUGGGCUGGUGGCAGUUACAUUGAUGAGACAUACAAGAUUAGAUAGUGUCUUAAGCCAGUCUCUUUGAG